rnacentral:misc_RNA from 1 species
UGUGAUUGUCAACCUUAACAACUGUAGUAACCUAAGCAAAGCUUCCCUUUCGUUGCCAUUGAUGAGAUUGAACAGAAUCCAUUCUGGUUCAGUUCUUGCAAGUGGCGAGGAACUUCCUUUUGGAAUUUCCACAUCAGCAUUUGAUGGACUACGUGCAACUAAAUGGGAAGAACCAAAUGGUGCAAAAGGUUGUUGGAUCGUGUAUAAGUUACCAGACAACCAAAUGCAUGAACUAGUGGCAUAUGAUUUAAUGUCAGCUAAUGAUGCACCGGAGAGGGAUCCAAUGGAUUGGGUUCUUGAGGGAAGUGAUGAUGGGGGAUCCAGUUGGCGAAUUUUGGAUAAACAGAUUUCUCAGGCUUUUGAAAAUCGUUUUCAGCGUAGAUCAUUCAAAAUUAAAUCAGGAGGUUUCUUCUGUAAUGCAUUCAGGUUCCGGUUUCUAGCAGUCAAAGACGUGCAAUCAAAUUCACGGCUGCAGUUGGGUAGCAUUGACCUGUAUUCAAGCAACUCAUCCUUGUAGAGCCCAAUCAUCAACCUCAUUGGAUGAUGACUGACAACUUCUAUAGUGUAAUUAUUUCCUUCCUAUUAUCAUUUAAAUGUUGCUUCAAACAAAGCAAAUGAAAUCUAGCAUUUCUGUUAGCCUUCAUGUGCGGCAUAAUUGCCAGGCCUUUGAGAGGCUGUAUACAAAAACCAUACGUAAAGGGGCUGCUUUUUAAAUUGUGUAACAGUUUGUUUUGUAUGAAAGAUUUUAUUUUAACAUGAUUGAAUCUUCU